rnacentral:rRNA from 1 species
CUUAGGCGUGUGACUGCGUACCUUUUGUAUAAUGGGUCAGCGACUUAUAUUCUGUAGCAAGGUUAACCGAAUAGGGGAGCCGAAGGGAAACCGAGUCUUAACUGGGCGUUAAGUUGCAGGGUAUAGACCCGAAACCCGGUGAUCUAGCCAUGGGCAGGUUGAAGGUUGGGUAACACUAACUGGAGGACCGAACCGACUAAUGUUGAAAAAUUAGCGGAUGACUUGUGGCUGGGGGUGAAAGGCCAAUCAAACCGGGAGAUAGCUGGUUCUCCCCGAAAGCUAUUUAGGUAGCGCCUCGUGAAUUCAUCUCCGGGGGUAGAGCACUGUUUCGGCAAGGGGGUCAUCCCGACUUACCAACCCGAUGCAAACUGCGAAUACCGGAGAAUGUUAUCACGGGAGACACACGGCGGGUGCUAACGUCCGUCGUGAAGAGGGAAACAACCCAGACCGCCAGCUAAGGUCCCAAAGUCAUGGUUAAGUGGGAAACGAUGUGGGAAGGCCCAGACAGCCAGGAUGUUGGCUUAGAAGCAGCCAUCAUUUAAAGAAAGCGUAAUAGCUCACUGGUCGAGUCGGCCUGCGCGGAAGAUGUAACGGGGCUAAACCAUGCACCGA